rnacentral:rRNA from 1 species
GCNUNGUCCNNAANUAUUGGNNUAAAGAGCUNNUNGGCGUUUGUNGCGUNUGCUGUGAAAAUNCCAAGGCUCAACCUUGGACCUGCAGUGGGUACGGGCAAGNUAGAGUGCGGUAGGGGAGAUGGGAAUUCCUGGUGUAGCGGUGGAAUGCGCAGAUAUCAGGAGGAACACCAAUGGCGAAGGCACAUCUCUGGGCCGUAACUGACGCUGAGGAGCGAAAGCGUGGGGAGCGAACAGGAUUAGAUACCCUGGUAGUCCACGCCGUAAACGGUGGGUGCUAGUUGUGGGCCACAUUCCACGUGGUCUGUGACGAAGUUAACACAUUAAGCACCCCGCCUGGGGAGUACGGUCGCAAGACUAAAACUCAAAGGAAUUGACGGGGGCCCGCACAAGCGGCGGAGCAUGCGGAUUAAUUCGAUGCAACGCGAAGAACCUUACCAAGACUUGACAUAUAGUAGAAAAACGUGGAAACACGUUCCCCGCAAGGCUGCUAUACAGGUGGUGCAUGGUUGUCGUCAGCUCGUGUCGUGAGAUGUUGGGUUAAGUCCCGCAACGAGCGCAACCCUCGUUCUAUGUUGCCAGCACGUAAAGGUGGGAACUCAUGGAAGACUGCCGGGGUCAACUCGGAGGAAGGUGGGGAUGACGUCAAAUCAUCAUGCCCCUUAUGUCUUGGGCUUCACGCAUGCUACAAUGGCCGAUACAAAGGGCUGCGAUACCGCAAGGUGGAGCGAAUCCCAUAAAGUCGGUCUCAGUUCGGAUUGGGGUCUGCAACUCGACCCCAUGAAGUCGGAGUCGCUAGUAAUCGUAGAUCAGCAACGCUACGGUGAAUACGUUCCCGGGCCUUGUACACACCGCCCGUCAAGUCACGAAAGUCGGUAACACCCGAAGCCGGUGGCCUAACCGUAAGGAAGGAGCCGUCGAAGGUGGGAUCGGUGAUUGGGACU